CGAACGCUGGCGGUAUGCUUAACACAUGCAAGUCGAACGAGAAAGUCACUUCGGUGGCGAGUAGAGUGGCGCACGGGUGAGUAACGCGUAGGUGACCUGCCUCUUAGCGGGGGAUAACCAUGAGAAAUUAUGGCUAAUACCGCAUACGAAGUGCAAAUUUGGAAUUAGCACUUGAAAGGAUGCCUCUCCUUGGAAGCAUUCACUAAGAGAUGGGCCUGCGUAGCAUUAGCUUGUUGGUGGGGUAAUGGCCUACCAAGGCGACGAUGCUUAGCUGGUCUGAGAGGAUGAUCAGCCACACUGGAACUGAGACACGGUCCAGACUCCUACGGGAGGCAGCAGUGGGGAAUAUUGCGCAAUGGACGAAAGUCUGACGCAGCAAUACCGCGUGAGUGAGGAAGGCCUUCGGGUUGUAAAGCUCUGUCAGAUGGGAAGAACGAUUAGUGGUCCAAUAGGCCAUUAAAGUGACGGUACCAUCAAAGGAAGCACCGGCUAACUUC
rnacentral:rRNA from 1 species